CCUACGGGAGGCUGCAGUGGGGAAUAUUGCACAAUGGGGGAAACCCUGAUGCAGCGACGCCGCGUGAAGGAAGAAGUCUUUCGGUAUGUAAACUUCUAUCAGCAGGGAAGAAAAUGACGGUACCUGACUAAGAAGCCCCGGCUAACUACGUGCCAGCAGCCGCGGUAAUACGUAGGGGGCAAGCGUUAUCCGGAUUUACUGGGUGUAAAGGGUGCGUAGGAGGUUUAGCAAGUCAGAAGUGAAAGCCCGGGGCUCAACUCCGGGACUGCUUUUGAAACUGUUGAACUAGAUGGCAGGAGAGGUAAGUGGAAUUCCUAGGGUAGCGGUGAAAUGCGUAGAUAUUAAGAGGAACCCCAGUGGCGAAGGCGGCUUACUGGACUGGAAAUGACGCUGAGGCUCGAAAGCGUUGGGAGCAAACAGGAUUAGAUAACCCGUGUAGUC
rnacentral:rRNA from 1 species